UGAUCACAUCAAAAUCAGUUUUGAUUUUGGACAGUGGGCCUCUGCCGGAAAUAUAUUCCGGCUGGCCUGAAAAUGAGAAGAGCACUUAAUGCAGGAAAAGCAUUCAGACUGUUUAUUGUCAAAGGCGAAAAGCUUAUUAGUUGACUUUGGUCAUCCCAGCUGAAUACCCUUUGUAAAGCAAAACAAAGUCUGUCUCAAA
rnacentral:misc_RNA from 1 species